rnacentral:rRNA from 1 species
AGCAGCCGCGGUAAUUCCAGCUCCAAUAGCGUAUAUUAAAGUUGUUGCAGUUAAAAAGCUCGUAGUUGAAUUUCGGGAUCAAUGCGUCGGUCGUGCCUCGGUACGUACUAACGAUAUUGAUUUCUCCCUUCUGACGAACCGUGAUGUCAUUAAUUUGGUGUUACGGGGAGUUAGGACUGUUACUUUGAAAAAAUUAGAGUGUUUAAAGCAAGCAAUCGCUCGAAUACAUUAGCAUGGAAUAAUGAAAUAGGACGUUCGAACCUAUUUUGUUGGUUUCUAGGAUCAACGUAAUGAUUAAUAGGGAUAGUUGGGGGCAUUAGUAUUCAAUUGUCAGAGGUGAAAUUCUUGGAUUUAUUGAAGACUAACUACUGCGAAAGCAUUUGCCAAGGAUGUUUUCAUUAAUCAAGAACGAAAGUUAGGGGAUCGAAGACGAUCAGAUACCGUCGUAGUCUUAACCAUAAACUAUGCCGACUAGGGAUCGGAUGAUGUUAAUUUUUUAAUGACUCAUUCGGCGCCUUACG